GAUGAACGCUGGCGGCGUGCCUAAUACAUGCAAGUCGAGCGGAAGGACGAGAAGCUUGCUUCUCUGAUGUUAGCGGCGGACGGGUGAGUAACACGUGGAUAACCUACCUAUAAGACUGGGAUAACUUCGGGAAACCGGCGCUAAUACCGGAUAAUAUUUUGAACCGCAUGGUUCAAAAGUGAAAGACGGUCUUGCUGUCACUUAUAGAUGGAUCCGCGCUGCAUUAGCUAGUUGGUAAGGUAACGGCUUACCAAGGGAACGAUGCAUAGCCGACCUGAGAGAGUGGUCGGCCACCCGGGAGCUGGGACGCGGUCCAGACUCCUACGGGAGGCAGCAGUAUGGAAUCUGCCGCAGUGGGCGGAAGCCUGACGGAGCAACGCCGCGUGAGUGAUGGAGGUCUUCGGAUCGUAAAACUCUGUUAUUAGGGAAGAACAUAUGUGUAAGUAACUGUGCACAUCUUGACGGUAACGAGUCAGAAAGCCACGGCUAACUACGUG
rnacentral:rRNA from 1 species